AGAGAAUCCACAAGGUCCAGUGGUUCGGAUGAAGAUCAAGGUUCUGAAGAUGAUAAUGCUGAGAUUGAAUCUCGUUUUCCUGAGCUUUCAAUUGAUGAUGAAAGUGAAAAGGUUUCUGUAGCAGUGGAUCUGAAAGCUAUUGCUGAUUGUAUGAUUGAAGCAGGGUAUGGAAAAGAAUGCGCCAAAAUUUACGAACUUAACCGAAAAUCAGUCAUCGAAGAGACAUUGUAUUACUUGGGGGUUGAAAAUAUUUCCCCUUCAACGGUUCAGAAAAUGAAUUGGAAGGAUUUGGAGAAGAAAAUCAAGAUCUGGUUGAAUGCUGUUAAGGUUGCUGUUAGUACUCUGUUUUACGGCGAGAGGAUUCUCUGUGACCAAGUUUUCUCCAUCUCCG
rnacentral:misc_RNA from 1 species